GCCAUCCGACUAGCACAGAGGAGGGGCGUUAGAGCCGUAUCAGCCUUGCGCAUGCGCCCUUGUGCUCUGCGGGCUCCGCGGCGCAGCGCUGCACAGGGUUCCGCUAGGGGGCGCUGCGGCGCUGGGAGCGAGGCCUCAGAGCCGCCAUCUUGCGGGCGGCGAUGCUUUGCCCUUGGGCUGCGUUCCCGCGGCUGUGCGGGCCGUGGCCGGGGCCUGGGAUGCGGGCUCUUUGGUGGGAGUUCCCAUUGAGAAUACGGGGAGGAGGCCUAGGUGGGCUGUCCUCCUGCUGGAGGUGAAGCCUCUUGCAGUGUGAGCACCCACACAACGCCCCUGCCAGAUCUUGCCGCAUAAGGGAGCGCAGGGAGCCUUACCGCCGGGUGCGGUGCGUGCAGGAAAAUGGCUUUUGUCUCAGCCCCUCUGUCCUCUGGACAGCUGGCCCUGCUUUAAUGGCUGUCCCCAGCUGAGGAGGUGACCUCCUUCAGCAGGCUGUGUGCAAUUGCAGUUCUUUCCAGAAGAACAAAGCAGCUUUAAUAUUCAUCUGAGUGCUGCUUUGGGAGAUAAAAUCUGAUCGUUUCAAAGCCUAUUUAAAUAACAUAACUGUUUCCUGUUGUUAGAAUCUGCUGCAAGAAUUUAGCCCUUAAUUAAAAUUCUAGUGUGAAUUUCGGCAGCUGGAAAUAGAACAGUGCAAUUAGGAACACUCCAAAUAUAGCACUGACUUUUUUUCACACUACCAUCUCAUCUACAUGGAGUGGGAACGGCCUCAUCUUCUUGCUUGUCUUGAUACUCUGAAAAAUGAGUACUACAGGAUAUAAUUGAUUGGGAGCCAUUGAACGAAUAUAGUUGAUGCCAGAUGUAAGCCAAGCAGCCAGCAGAAGAGAAAGGCUCUAAUAUUCCGUUCUCACUAUCACCACUUCCUCUACUGGAAGCAGAAUUCAAGUCAAUCCACAGAACUGUUAAAGAAGCAAAUCAUCUUUCCCUUGCUUCUGCUGAUAGAAAAGAAGCUAAAUCUGGAAAUAAAUGCAUCGUACAACAUUAGAUUUCUUGUAACAUCCUCACUGAAGAACAGUUACAGCAGAAUUACUGCCAAAUGUGCUUUGUGGUUGUUCACAAAAUCAGAGGGGAUGCUUAAAAGGUUGAGAAGAAUGAUGCUACAGGGGUGUGAGUGUACAGGAAGCUCACUGGGACUGCAUCUAAUUUUUGGGCUUGCAAGUUCUGAUGUCACAGGAGUGUUUUAAAAUGCACUCUGAGCUAAACUGAAGUUGAUAAUAAUAAUAGCAGAGUAACAAAUUCAUUUGGCCCUGCAAACUAGCAAAGUAAGUUUUAGGUUCUGUUUUGUACGUUUUGCAAGCGUACCUUAACACUGUAUAAUGGCUGUGCAUUGCGUAUCUCUGGCCUGAGUUUCAGGCAAGAUUAGUCCAUUUUACGGAGUCCCUGUAGGAUCCAGAAGUAGCACAAAGGUACAAAUCUGCUACACUGGAAAAAAUCAUCUGCUGCAAAAUGCAGAGCCAGAUUCUACCAUUAUUUCUUACACAGUCUCUCAAAGCUGACUUGGAGGCAAUAACAGGCAAACAUGGCUGUGAAGUUCCAAGGGGUCUGCUACUCUGUGGAUUCAGCCUGUACCAGAGUGGAAGUGCAGAAGAUGGAAAGGGAUGUUGAAACUUUGAGCUACAGAAAAGACCACGGAGUCCUGGUGUACAGAGCUCCGCUUCUCAGGAAAUAUUUGUCCUUAGGUAGACAGUGAACACAGCACCAAAUACACAACAACGGAGUGUAAUGCUAAUCUUUUUUUCAUGGUACCAGUUCAAGCUUGGUGAUGCACGACAGAGCUGAAAUCCUAACAUGGAAAUCCCAUAUGGCAUUCAGACUGGCUGUAACAAAUAAUCAUUUCCACUUCAAUAGCAUGCAAGGAACUCAUAGCGCAUUGCGAACGUUAAUUAAUCCUUGCAGUCCAGUUGGGAUGCAGAUGGAUUACAUCCCUCGCCACCAAAGGAAAGAUAGCUCCAGCAUGAACCGCGGCAACUCUAACGUUAUUCAGGAAUUUCUGCCAGGAUGUGUACUGUACUGAAACUACAGGAGAAUUCGAAUGGAUGGAGUGAAGAGAGAAAGAUUUAAAUACAAACUGAAACUCAAAAUUGGCAUUGCAUCCCUCCCAGCGCCAGGCCACGAAACAAAGAUGUUAAACAGCAGGCAACUUACCACCACUGCAACCACCACAUAAUUUCAUACCCCAGCGUUACAGGUACUGAUUGAGCUAGAUGAGUAUUGGCAAAUGUGUUGUUCAAGCAAUUGUGGGGGAUUCUAGCAGAAAAGCUGAAAGCACAG